UGAGUUGUAGUUUAAUUGGCAGAACAUCAUUUUUUGGAAGUGGUUAAUAUCAGUUCAAAUCUGAUCAACUCAG
rnacentral:tRNA from 1 species